rnacentral:piRNA from 1 species
UUGUCCCGGAACUAGCUCUUGUAG